rnacentral:lncRNA from 1 species
AUGCUGCUCCUCACCCUCUGCCAGGCCUCACCCCAUAUUGAUCCUCAGCCCCCCAUACUGCUCCUUACCACCCUGCUGCUCCUCACCCUCUACUGCUCCUCACCCCACUGCCAGUCCUCACCCCAUACUGCUUCUCACCCUAUAUCGGUCCUCACCACCCCACUGGUUCUCACUCCACUGCUAGUCCCCAUCCCACAUUGCUCCUCACCCCAUACUGCUCCUCAACCCAUGCUGCUCCUCACCCUCUGCCAGGCCUCACCCCAUAUUGAUCCUCACCCCCCCAUACUGCUCCUUACCACCCUGCUGCUCCUCACCCCACUGCCAGUCCUCACCCCAUAUUGCUCCUCACCCCAUACUGCUUCUCACCCUACAUUGGUCCUCACCAUCCCACUGGUUCUCACUCCAUUGCUAGUCUCCUUCCCACAUUGGUACUCACUCCAUACUGCUCCUCACCCCAUGCUGCUCCUCACCCUCUGCCAGGCCUCACCCCAUAUUGAUCCUCACCCCCCCAUACUGCUCCUUACCACCCUGCUGCUUCUCACCCCACUGCCAGUCAUCACCUUAUAUUGGUCUUCACCCCACUGCUGCUCCUCAUCCCACUGCCACUCCUCACCCCAUAGUGCUCCUCACCCCAUACUGCUCCUCAUCCCACUGCCAGUCCUCACCCCAUAUUGCUCCUCACCCCAUACUGCUUCUCACCCCACUGCCAGUCCUCACCCCAUAUUGCUCCUCACCCCAUACUGUUUCUCACCCUAUAUCGGUCCUCACCACCCCACUGGUUCUCACUCCACUGCUAGUCCCUAUCCCACAGUGCUCCUCACCCCAUGCUGCUCCUCACCCUCUGCCAGGCCUCACCCCAUAUUGAUCCUCACCCCCCCAUACUGCUCCUUACCACCCUGCUGCUUCUCACCCCACUGCCAGUCCUCACCCCAUAUUGCUCCUCACCCCAUACUGCUUCUCACCCUACAUUGCUCCUCACCAUCCCACUGGUUCUCACUCCAUUGCUAG